GGUCCUGUAGGAUAACGGUCAGUCCGAAGGUUUCUGAUGCGGGCUUGGCCUACUGGAAUUCCUUAAGCCGCGGUUCGACUCCGCGCAGGACCU